GCCUCUGUAGCUAAAACUUCAAAGCACUG
rnacentral:tRNA from 1 species